AGAUUGAACGCUGGCGGCAGGCCUAACACAUGCAAGUCGAGCGGUAGAGAGGUGCUUGCAUCUCUUGAGAGCGGCGGACGGGUGAGUAAUGCCUAGGAAUCUGCCUAGUGGUGGGGGAUAACGUUCGGAAACGGACGCUAAUACCGCAUACGUCCUACGGGAGAAAGCGGGGGACCUUCGGGCCUCGCGCCAUUAGAUGAGCCUAGGUCGGAUUAGCUAGUUGGUGAGGUAAUGGCUCACCAAGGCGACGAUCCGUAACUGGUCUGAGAGGAUGAUCAGUCACACUGGAACUGAGACACGGUCCAGACUCCUACGGGAGGCAGCAGUGGGGAAUAUUGGACAAGUGGGACGAAAGCCUGAUCCAGCCAUGCCGCGUGUG
rnacentral:rRNA from 1 species